rnacentral:tRNA from 1 species
GGGUUUGGGAAUGGCACCCGACCACGCACAGGCCUCCAUACCCUAUCCAGAUAGCUCGCUGCCUUCACACGGCAGGGGUCACUGGUUCGAUCCCAGUACCGCCCACCA